rnacentral:tRNA from 1 species
GGGGACGUGGCGGAAUUGGUAUACGCGCAGUGUUGAGGUCGCUGUGGGGAAACCCAUGAGAGUUCGACUCUCUCCGUCCCCACCA